AUUGAACGCUGGCGGCAGGCCUAACACAUGCAAGUCGAACGGUAGCACAGAGAGCUUGCUCUCGGGUGACGAGUGGCGGACGGGUGAGUAACGUCUGGGAAACUGCCUGAUGGAGGGGGAUAACUACUGGAAACGGUAGCUAAUACCGCAUAACGUCGCAAGACCAAAGUGGGGGACCUUCGGGCCUCACGCCAUCGGAUGUGCCCAGAUGGGAUUAGCUAGUAGGUGGGGUAACGGCUCACCUAGGCGACGAUCCCUAGCUGGUCUGAGAGGAUGACCAGCCACACUGGAACUGAGACACGGUCCAGACUCCUACGGGAGGCAGCAGUGGGGAAUAUUGCACAAUGGGCGCAAGCCUGAUGCAGCCAUGCCGCGUGUGUGAAGAGGGCCUUCGGGUUGUAAAGCACUUUCAGCGAGGAGGAAGGCGUGAAGGUUAAUAACCUUGACGAUUGACGUUACUCGCAGAAGAAGCACCGGCUAACUCCGUGCCAGCCGCCGCAGUAA
rnacentral:rRNA from 1 species